UGCCUUUGUGUUGCCCAUUCAUUUCCAUCCAGAAUGAAUGUGGUGUCAAAAAAGGCAAACAGAAAUACUUGCUCAGACAGCUUCUUAAGGAGCUGGUUAUUUACCUUUCUCCUCCCUGUUUCUGCAAGAACAAAA
ensembl:snoRNA